UAGGGUGCAAGCGUUAUCCGGAAUUAUUGGGCGUAAAGAGCUCGUAGGCGGUUUGUCGCGUCUGCUGUGAAAACUGGGGGCUCAACCCCCAGCCUGCAGUGGGUACGGGCAGACUAGAGUGCGGUAGGGGAGAUUGGAAUUCCUGGUGUAGCGGUGGAAUGCGCAGAUAUCAGGAGGAACACCGAUGGCGAAGGCAGAUCUCUGGGCCGUAACUGACGCUGAGGAGCGAAAGCAUGGGGAGCGAACAGG
rnacentral:rRNA from 1 species